GACGAACGCUGGCGGCGUGCUUAACACAUGCAAGUCGAACGGAAAGGCCCCCAUCUUGGUGGGGGUGCUCGAGUGGCGAACGGGUGAGUAACACGUGGGUGAUCUGCCCUGUACUUCGGGAUAAGCUUGGGAAACUGGGUCUAAUACCGGAUAGGACCAUGGUUUAGUGUCUCAUGGUGGAAAGAUUAUUGUUUUGGUGCAGGAUGAGCUCGCGGCCUAUCAGCUUGUUGGUGGGGUAAUGGCCUACCAAGGCGUCGACGGGUAGCCGGCCUGAGAGGGUGGACGGCCACAUUGGGACUGAGAUACGGCCCAGACUCCUACGGGAGGCAGCAGUGGGGAAUAUUGCACAAUGGGCGCAAGCCUGAUGCAGCGACGCCGCGUGAGGGAUGACGGCCUUCGGGUUGUAAACUCCUUUCGUUAGGGACGAAGCCGCACUUUUUUUGGGUGUGGUGACGGUACCUUUGUUAAGAAGCACCGGCUAACUACGUG
rnacentral:rRNA from 1 species